rnacentral:tRNA from 1 species
GUGCCUGUGGCUCAAUGAGUAGAGUGCUGGCCCCAUAUGCCAGAGGUGGCGGGUUCAAACCCAGCCCCGGCCA